AGGUAAUGGUUUUGUCUUGUAUAAAACAGCUUCUCCCAAUGGAUAUUUAGCUGAGUUUUUGGGUCUUGGAUUUUUGCCUGCUCUGUAAAAAAAAAAAAAAAAAAAAAAAAAAAAAAAAAAAAAAACAAGGUAUUUACGUUUUCACGGCAGCACUUAGCUUUCACAGAUACGUUAGUUUCAGAUAUAUUUCUAAAUAGUUCCAUUUGGGCUGUUUUUAUGCUUUAAUUCAGAAUUUUAUUCCUGCAUUACUUGAUAAUAUGUAAAAUCAGGUGCCAGUUAAAUGUAACUUGGUAUAUUAUGCUAUGCUUAUGUGGUCAUUUAUAUGGACAUCUCUUUACAGUUUGCUGAUGAACUCUUUCUUGUAAAUGAUGGCUUACCAUAUUCAAAACCUGGUUUAUUUGUUUAUUAUUAUUCUGUACUUACCAUAUUCAAAACCUGGUUUAUUUGUUUAUUAUUAUUCUGUAUUAUUGUUUCAUUUUGUGCACUUUUAAUUGGUGUUCUUGUUUAAAUUCCAUGCAUAGGUUGUGGACUUUAUUUCAGAUUGUUGCUAUAUAUGUGGUAGGCCUCACAAGUUAAUGUUCUUUAUCUUUGAUCUUUGAUGAUGUCCUUGUGGAAGUAACAACAUUGAAUUGCUAGACACACAUAUGCACAGAGAAGUAAAUUCUCAUGGCAAGCUAUUAUGUCUUGUCGGUUGUAACAAUGCAUUCUUGGGGAGAAAUAUUCAGUGGACCUCCCAUGUAAUCUCCUUUUGCUGCAGAAAUUCCUUCUAUUUGAGUGUUGUUUAUCAGUUAGGGGAAUGCCUGUUGAUCUGCAUUUACUUCUUUGUAUCUUUAGGUUCUUUCUAAAUUUCCUUUCUUUUCCCUUGUUGUUAAACUGCGUUCAGUUUAUCCUGUAAAAUGCAUUGAUAACGUAAGCUCUGCAGAUCCAUUCUUUGCUCAAAUACUGAGAAUUUUUCGUUUUUGUGCAUGGCUUCGUAAAACCAUCUUUCCAGAAUAUAUUGCAGACGAUAUGAUGAAAUACAUUCCAGUUUCUUUAUCUAAACAGUGUACUCUCUCCCUCUGCAUUUUGCUUCUUCCUAGUAAUUCAAUGGUUAUUUUAAGUAUAUUUGAUCUGACUAGAUUAUUGUCUAUGUAUUUCAGAUUAUGUUAUGCAGUAUGGUAAAAUGACAUUAUUCCUUCUUGCUGCAGAG
rnacentral:lncRNA from 1 species